rnacentral:rRNA from 1 species
CAGUGGUGCAUGGUUGUCGUCAGCUCGUGUCGUGAGAUGUUGGGUUAAGUCCCGCAACGAGCGCAACCCCUAUUGUUAGUUGCCAUCAUUCAGUUGGGCACUCUAGCGAGACUGCCGGUAAUAAACCGGAGGAAGGUGGGGAUGACGUCAAAUCAUCAUGCCCCUUAUGACCUGGGCUACACACGUGCUACAAUGGUUGGUACAACGAGUUGCGAGUCGGUGACGGCGAGCUAAUCUCUUAAAGCCAAUCUCAGUUCGGAUUGUAGGCUGCAACUCGCCUACAUGAAGUCGGAAUCGCUAGUAAUCGCGGAUCAGCACGCCGCGGUGAAUACGUUCCCGGGCCUU